rnacentral:rRNA from 1 species
UUUUGUCGUAGCUUGCUAUGAUAAAAAUUAGUGGCAGACGGGUGAGUAAUGCAUAGGAAUCUACCUAGUAGUAUGGGAUAGCCACUAGAAAUGGUGGGUAAUACUGUAUAAUCCCUGCGGGGGAAAGAUUUAUCGCUAUUAGAUGAGCCUAUGUUAGAUUAGCUAGUUGGUAGGGUAAAGGCCUACCAAGGCAGUGAUCUAUAGCUGGUCUGAGAGGAUGAUCAGCCACACUGGAACUGAGAUACGGUCCAGACUCCUACGGGAGGCAGCAGUGGGGAAUAUUGGACAAUGGGCGCAAGCCUGAUCCAGCUAUGCCGCGUGAGUGAGGAAGGCCUUAGGGUUGUAAAACUCUUUCAGUGGGGAAGAUAAUGACGGUACCCACAGAAGAAGUCCCGGCAAACUCC